rnacentral:rRNA from 1 species
GACGAACGCUGGCGGCGUGCUUAACACAUGCAAGUCGAACGAUGACGACCGAGCUUGCUCGGUCUGAUUAGUGGCGAACGGGUGAGUAACACGUGAGCAACCUGCCCUUCACUCUGGGAUAACCUCGGGAAAUCGGGGCUAUUACCGGAUAUGAGCUCCUGUCGCAUGGCGGGUGUUGGAAAGUUUUUCGGUGAAGGAUGGGCUCGCGGCCUAUCAGUUUGUUGGUGAAGUAGUGGCUCACCAAGGCGAUGACGGGUAGCCGGCCUGAGAGGGCGACCGGCCACACUGGGACUGAGACACGGCCCAGACUCCUACGGGAGGCAGCAGUGGGGAAUAUUGCACAAUGGGCGAAAGCCUGAUGCAGCGACGCCGCGUGAGGGAUGACGGCCUUCGGGUUGUAAACCUCUUUCAGCAGGGAAGAAGCGAAAGUGACGGUACCUGCAGAAGAAGCGCCGGCUAACUACGUG